rnacentral:lncRNA from 1 species
AGAAUAGAUUUAGCAAUAUUUAUUUUAUUAUUAUGUAUUAAUUUUAUCUCUAUUUAAAAUUUAUAAUACUUUUUUAUUAAGAUUUUUUUGGGUUUAGAGUUUAUUCAAAAUAACUAACAAUUCUUUAAAUAAGAACAAAACUUAUCUAUACCUCUAUACUGCUAUAUUUAUUUAUUUAUUUAUACAUUAUUUUUCAUACAGUUUAUCACAUGGCAAUUUCUCUUUCACCCUCUUUCAACUUCACCCUCUUUCUACUUCUUAAUAUUUCGCCUUCUCAUCCUUAUAUCUGUAAGAUAAUGUAUCAUAUGAUCCAUUUUUAUAUAAACAAAUUAUUUUUAAAAAAAUAAAACAAAAUCUCUUCAUAUUCCUUUUUAUAACAAUUUUUUUUUAAACUUUAUUUGUGCACAAUAAGGGUUAAUUUUUUGUAUUUUUUAAUUUUUUUUAAAAAAAAAUAUUGUGUAGAGAUUGAAACUAGGGUUUCGAGAAUCGUGGUGGCGCGGCAAGGUGAAGUACGAUGGAUUUGGAGUCGAUGAGGGGGAAGGAGCGGUGGGUGUGGGGGGAUUCAUACGGAGUCGACGUGACGGUGACCAAAGAGAAGCUCGAG